AACAGGAUUAGAUAGCCUGGUAGUCCACGCCGUAAACGAUGAGUGCUAGGUGUUAGGCCCUUUCCGGGGCUUAGUGCCGCAGCUAACGCAUUAAGCACUCCGCCUGGGGAGUACGACCGCAAGGUUGAAACUCAAAGGAAUUGACGGGGGCCCGCACAAGCGGUGGGGCAUGUGGUUUAAUUCGAAGCAACGCGAAGAACCUUACCAGGUCUUGACAUCCCGAUGCUAUCCCUAGAGAUAGGAAGUUUCUUCGGAACAUCGGUGACAGGUGGUGCAUGGUUGUCGUCAGCUCGUGUCGUGAGAUGUUGGGUUAAGUCCCGCAACGAGCGCAACCCCUAUUGUUAGUUGCCAUCAUUAAGUUGGGCACUCUAGCGAGACUGCCGGUAAUAAACCGGAGGAAGGUGGGGAUGACGUCAAAUCAUCAUGCCCCUUAUGACCUGGGCUACACACAUGCUACAAUGGUUGGUACAACGAGUCGCGAGUCGGUGACGGCAAGCAAAUCUCUUAAAGCCAAUCUCAGUUCGGAUUGUAGGCUGCAACUCGCCUACAUGAAGUCGGAAUCGCUAGUAAUCGCGGAUCAGCACGCCGCGGUGAAUACGUUCCCGGGUCUUGUACACACCG
rnacentral:rRNA from 1 species